UACGUAGGGUGCGAGCGUUAAUCGGAAUUACUGGGCGUAAAGCGUGCGCAGGCGGUUCGUUGUGUCGGCGGUGAAAGCCCGGGCUUAACCUGGGAACGGCCGUUGAAACUGGCGAACUGGAGUGUGGCAGAGGGGGUGGAAUUCCGCGUGUAGCAGUGAAAUGCGUAGAGAUGCGGAGGAACACCGAUGGCGAAGGCAGCCCCUGGGCUAACACUGACGCUCAGGCACGAAAGCGUGGGGAGCAAACAGG
rnacentral:rRNA from 1 species